UCCAGACUCCUACGGGAGGCAGCAGUGGGGAAUAUUGCACAAUGGGGGAAACCCUGAUGCAGCGACGCCGCGUGAGUGAAGAAGUAUUUCGGUAUGUAAAGCUCUAUCAGCAGGGAAGAAAAUGACGGUACCUGACUAAGAAGCCCCGGCUAACUACGUGCCAGCAGCCGCGGUAAUACGUAGGGGGCAAGCGUUAUCCGGAUUUACUGGGUGUAAAGGGAGCGUAGACGGCAUGGCAAGUCAGAUGUGAAAGCCCGGGGCUCAACCCCGGGACUGCAUUUGAAACUGUCAGGCUGGAGUGCAGGAGAGGUAAGUGGAAUUCCUAGUGUAGCGGUGAAAUGCGUAGAUAUCAGGAGGAACACCGGUGGCGAAGGCGGCCUGCUGGACUGCAACUGACGUUGAGGCCCGAAAGCGUGGGGAGCAAACAGGAUUAGAUACCCUUGUAC
rnacentral:rRNA from 1 species